rnacentral:rRNA from 1 species
GACGAACGCUGGCGGCGUGCUUAACACAUGCAAGUCGAGCGGAGCGGCGAACGGGGGAGUAACGCGUGAGUAACUGCCCCCCUCUCUGGGAUAAAAGUUGGAAACGGGUGGUAAUACCGGCUAGUGGGGGUUGACUCGGGUCCUAUGAGCUUGUUGGUGGGGGAGUGGCCUACCAAGGCGACGACGGGUAGCCGGCCUGAGAGGGCGACCGGCCACAUUGGGCUGAGAGACGGACGAAACUCGGAUGGGAGGCAGCAGGGGGGAUUCUUGCACAAUGGGGGAACGCCUGAGGCAGCAACGCGCGUGCGGGAUGACGGUCAUCUGGUGGUAAACAGCUUUCAGCUAGUACGCGGUACUUGCAGAAGAAGCACCGGCUAACUACGUGCCAGCAGCCGCGGUAAUAC